GUGGGGCGGAAGAAUCUUCAUCUUCCGCCGGAGAGGUGGAGGCCGCCUCCAAAGAAGAAAGUGGAAGUGGAGAAUAACAACUUCCAUUUUGCCCCGGGGAGGAGGAGCCACCAUCUUUGCUUUGUCCCUGAAAUGAACCAUCCAUUUUUGUUUUUUGCCUGGAGUAUCAAAGCUUGGCUGCUGACAUUCUGGAACUGACUACAGGGAGAGGAUUGGUAGUUUCAACUUUC
rnacentral:lncRNA from 1 species